CCAGACUCCUACGGGAGGCAGCAGUGAGGAAUAUUGGUCAAUGGCCGUAAGGCUGAACCAGCCAAGUAGCGUGAGGGAAGACUGCCCUAUGGGUUGUAAACCUCUUUUAUGCGGGGAUAAAGGUGUCCACGUGUGGAUGUUUGCAGGUACCGCAUGAAUAAGGACCGGCUAAUUCCGUGCCAGCAGCCGCGGUAAUACGGAAGGUCCGGGCGUUAUCCGGAUUUAUUGGGUUUAAAGGGUGCGUAGGCUGUGAGGUAAGUCAGCGGUGAAAUGCCCCCGCUCAACGGGGUGAAGUGCCAUUGAUACUGCCUUGCUGGAAUGCGGAUGCCGUGGGAGGAAUGUGUGGUGUAGCGGUGAAAUGCAUAGAUAUCACACAGAACACCGAUUGCGAAGGCAUCUCACGAAUCCGCGAUUGACGCUGAUGCACGAAAGCGUGGGUAUCAAGCAGGAUUAGAUACCCCAGUAA
rnacentral:rRNA from 1 species